UACGUAGGCAGCGAGCGUUGUUCGGAAUUAUUGGGCGUAAAGAGUGUGUAGGCGGUGUUCUAAGUCUGGUGUGAAAUCUCCCGGCUCAACUGGGAGGGUGCGCCGGAUACUGGGAUGCUAGAGGGUGGGAGAGGAAAGCGGAAUUCCUGGUGUAGCGGUGAAAUGCGUAGAUAUCAGGAGGAACACCUGUGGUGUAGACAGCUUUCUGGACCACUUCUGACGCUGAGAAACGAAAGCGUGGGUAGCAAACAGG
rnacentral:rRNA from 1 species